AGCAUGCGCAAGCAAUUCCUUUUUUGUGGCCCCCAUCUCGGCAUUUCCGAGGCAUUAGCCGUCUCCAAGAACUAAAGAUUGGGAAUGCUAUAUGAUAUAAAUGGGGGGCUUAGGGGCGGGGAUGCCCCUGGCCUUCUAUAAACCUGUGAGGCAGCGCCUCCGAACUCGAGUCCUGGCGUGGAGGAACGUCCAAAAAGGUGGAGGGCGGGGAUAGAAGCGGCCAACCACUCGGACCUCGGCUCCCAGCAGUUUCCAGACCCGCCUUAGCGGCCCCGGCCCGGCCCCGCCCCUUUCCUUCAGGCCCCGCCUCUCCUUUUGCGGCCGGGAAGACUGUGGAGUUGCUGCGUUACCCGUAAGACUCUGCCGGGGUCCCGGGAGAGAAGGAGCUACCAGACCAGAGGUGAGGAGGGUCUCCAGGGACCCCUGCAGAGUGGCAGGGAUUCUUGGAGGUCGUUUGAAGACACUGGCCAGAGGGCAGUCCGAUGCAGGCUGCCAGAAGUCGUUCCUCGUCAACUGUGGUGGAGGUCCCAAGCCCCCAGACCUUUAGUCUGCCAAAGGAGCUGUGGGUCUCCAUACCUCGCUUGGCUCUGACCCUUUUGCAUGCCCUCCUGAGGGGAGGCUGUCCUUGUCUAUCCAAGGCCUCAUCUAGGAAUCCUGUGGGACCCACAGCCCCUCCAGAAGAAAAUGGCCACUCCCUGCUCUGUGACCUUCCUGGCCCACAGUGUCCUCCACUGGAAUGAUGGAGAGGGGAUCCCUCCCACCACCACCACCCCUAGUCCUUCUUCAACAGCCCUGGUGCCCCGUCUUCCUUCCUUUGUAUGUUCUUUAUUUAUGUGUUAAAUUCCACAGAAUAAAGGACCCUCACUUUCCUUA